rnacentral:rRNA from 1 species
UACGGAGGGUGCAAGCGUUGCUCGGAAUUAUUGGGCGUAAAGCGCACGCAGGCGGCAAGGUAAGUCAGUUGUGAAAUUCCCGAGCUUAACUUGGGAGCUGCAGCUGAUACUGUCCCGCUUGAGUACGGAAGAGGGGAGCGGAAUUCCCAGUGUAGAGGUGAAAUUCGUAGAUAUUGGGAGGAACACCGGUGGCGAAGGCGGUUCCCUGGUCCGAUACUGACGCUCAUGUGCGAAAGCGUGGGGAGCAAACAGG